rnacentral:tRNA from 1 species
CGCGGGGUAGAGCAGGGGCAGCUCGCUAGGCCCAUAACCUAGAGGUCGGUGGUUCGAAUCCACCCCCCGCCACCA